rnacentral:rRNA from 1 species
UGCGAAGGGGGCUAGCGUUGCUCGGAAUCACUGGGCGUAAAGGGUGCGUAGGCGGGUCUUUAAGUCAGGGGUGAAAUCCUGGAGCUCAACUCCAGAACUGCCUUUGAUACUGAAGAUCUUGAGUUCGGGAGAGGUGAGUGGAACUGCGAGUGUAGAGGUGAAAUUCGUAGAUAUUCGCAAGAACACCAGUGGCGAAGGCGGCUCACUGGCCCGAUACUGACGCUGAUGCACGAAAGCGUGGGGAGCAAACAGG